GCAGUUGUGGCCUAAUGGUUAGAGAGUCAGCCUUACAACCCAAAGGUCGUGGGUUCGAGACUCAGGUCCGGCA